rnacentral:misc_RNA from 1 species
GCCGCCGUCGCCGUCAAGAAAACUCAAGGGCGGAGGAAAAUAGCAAUUAAACCAAUAGCAAAUCAAAACAGUAGGCACGUUACCUUUAGCAAACGCCGUUUAGGUCUCUUCAAAAAAGCUUAGCGAACUUUGCAUUUUAACCGGCGCUGAAAUCGCUAUUAUGGUUCAGUCGCUAAAACGACAGCGUUUGUUCACUUUUGG